rnacentral:misc_RNA from 1 species
AGAUUUUAUUCCAAUCACUAUAAAAACAAAGUAAAGCUUUAAAAACAUGUAUGCAAAUAAUACUCUCACUGACUUGAGCAUCAGAGUGGUUGCUAACCAUCAUCGGCCCUCUUCUGUUCUUUGAUUUUCAAGAGACUCUCAAUCCGAUCAAAUCUAGUAUCUAGAAAAUCUACAGCAACAUCAAUAAGCAAUAACUAAGGUAGGCACAAACAUUUGUUUCCUUGAAUUCUUGUUCUUCUACCUUUAUUCUCUCUAUUUUUCUUACAUUUUUUUUUCUGUCCUAAUUUAAGCUUCAGAGUGAUGGUGGGGGGCCGUGGGGGGGAAGCCCCUUCGCUCUCUGAACUCGUGUUGUUUUACUGUUGAGUAAGAGGAAGUCGCACAGUAGUCGUAAAGUACCUGAAAUAGUCAUAUCGCCAGAGAAAGUACCCGUAUACUUCUUAUUCUACCUCUAUAGCCCUAGAUAUAUCUCUUCCACAUAUCAUUCCUCAAAGGUACCACAUAUAUCUCUUCCACAUAUCAUUCCUCAAAGGUACCACAUAUAUCUCUUCCACAUAUCAUUCCUCAAAGGUACCAUACAUAUCACUUGUAACAAAUAUCCAUAUCCCUUGUAUCACUUUGCCAGGCAUUUCAGCAAGCAACUCAUGUGCAAAACUUGUAACCUUGCUUGCAUGGCAAGGUGCCUUCAACAAAUCAAUCAGCCUCAACUCUUAAAAAUGAUA